rnacentral:rRNA from 1 species
GAUGAACGCUGGCGGCGUGCUUAACACAUGCAAGUCGAACGGAAAGGCCCAAGCUUGCUUGGGUACUCGAGUGGCGAACGGGUGAGUAACACGUGGGUGAUCUGCCCUGCACUUCGGGAUAAGCCUGGGAAACUGGGUCUAAUACCGGAUAGGACCACAUUUUGGAUUGUGUGGUGGAAAGUUUUUCGGUGUGGGAUGAGCUCGCGGCCUAUCAGCUUGUUGGUGGGGUAAUGGCCUACCAAGGCGUCGACGGGUAGCCGGCCUGAGAGGGUGUACGGCCACAUUGGGACUGAGAUACGGCCCAGACUCCUACGGGAGGCAGAAGUGGGGAAUAUUGCACAAUGGGCGCAAGCCUGAUGCAGCGACGCCGCGUGGGGGAUGACGGCCUUCGGGUUGUAAACUCCUUUCGCUAGGGACGAAGCGUUUUUGUGACGGUACCUGGAGAAGAAGCACCGGCUAACUACGUG